GAUGAACGCUGGCGGCGUGCUUAACACAUGCAAGUCGAACGGUGAAAGAGAGCUUGCUCUCUGGAUCAGUGGCGAACGGGUGAGUAACACGUGAGCAAUCUGCCCCUGACUCUGGGAUAAGCGCUGGAAACGGCGUCUAAUACCGGAUACGAGCUGCGAAGGCAUCUUCAGCAGCUGGAAAGAACUUCGGUCAGGGAUGAGCUCGCGGCCUAUCAGCUAGUUGGUGAGGUAACGGCUCACCAAGGCGUCGACGGGUAGCCGGCCUGAGAGGGUGACCGGCCACACUGGGACUGAGAAACGGCCCAGACUCCUACGGGAGGCAGCAGUGGGGAAUAUUGCACAAUGGGCGAAAGCCUGAUGCAGCAACGCCGCGUGAGGGACGACGGCCUUCGGGUUGUAAACCUCUUUUAGCAGGGAAGAAGCGAAAGUGACGGUACCUGAAGAAAAAGCACCGGCUAACUACGUG
rnacentral:rRNA from 1 species